AUUGAACGCUGGCGGCAGGCCUAACACAUGCAAGUCGAACGCGUGGCGGACGGGUGAGUAAUGUCUGGGAAAAUGCCUGAUGGAUGGGCAUAACUACUGGAAACGGUAGCUAAUACCGCAUACCAUCGGAUGUGCCCAGAUGGGAUUAGCUAGUAGGUGGGGUAAAGGAUCACCUAGGCGACGAUCCCUAGCUGGUCUGAGAGGAUGCCCAUCCACACUGGAACUGAUACACGGUCCAGCCUCCUACGGGAGGCAGCAGGGGGGAAUAUUGCACAAUGGGCGCAAUCCUGCUUCAGCCAUGCCGCGUGUAUGAAGAAUGCCUUCGGGUUGUAAAGUACUUUCAGCGGUGAGGCGUUACCCGCAGAAGAAGCACCGGCUAACUCCGUGCCAGCAGCCGCGGUAAUUC
rnacentral:rRNA from 1 species